rnacentral:rRNA from 1 species
UACAGAGGGUGCAAGCGUUAAUCGGAAUUACUGGGCGUAAAGCGCGCGUAGGUGGUUUGUUAAGUUGGAUGUGAAAGCCCCGGGCUCAACCUGGGAACUGCAUUCAAAACUGACAAGCUAGAGUAUGGUAGAGGGUGGUGGAAUUUCCUGUGUAGCGGUGAAAUGCGUAGAUAUUGGAAAGACCACCGACGGCGAAGGCACUUUACUGGGCCAUUACUGACACUAAGAGACGAAAGCUAGGGGAGCAAAUGGG